AAGCGAAGCUUUUCAGUAGUUCUACUACAGAAAAUGACUGAGCGGCGAACGGGUGAGUAACGCGUGAGCAAUCUACCUUAGUUACAGGGAUAGCCCGAGGAAACUCGGAUUAAUACCUGAUAUUCUUUAUUUCUCGCAUGAGAAUAAAAGGAAAGGUCAGCCGAACUAAGAUGAGCUCGCGUUCUAUCAGCUAGUUGGUGAGGUAAAAGCUUACCAAGGCUACGACGGAUAGCUGGUCUGAGAGGACGAUCAGCCACACUGGGACUGAGACACGGCCCAGACUCCUACGGGAGGCUGCAGCAGGGAAUAUUGUGCAAUGAACGAAAGUUUGACACAGCGACACCGCGUGUGGGAUGACGGAUCUAGGUUUGUAAACCACUUUCAGGAGGGGAGAAAAUGACGGUAACUCCACAAGAAGCCCCGGCCAACUACGUGCCAGCAGCGCGGUAAUACGUAGGGGGCGAGCGUUGUCCGGAUUUAUUGGGCGUAAAGAGCUCGUAAGGCGGUUCAACAAGUCGGUCGUGAAAGUUCAGGGGCUCAAACCCUGAAAUGUCGAUCGAUACUGUCGUGACUAGGGAUACG
rnacentral:rRNA from 1 species